rnacentral:tRNA from 1 species
GGGCCUGUAGCUCAGACGGAACAAAGAGCAUCUGCCUUCUAAGCAGAGGGUCGCAGGUUCGAAUCCUGCCAGGCUCA